rnacentral:rRNA from 1 species
GACGAACCGUGCGAACGUUGUUCGGAAUCACUGGGCUUAAAGGGCGCGUAGGCGGGUCGGCAAGUCAGGGGUGAAAUCGUUCGGCUUAACCGGACAACUGCCUUUGAUACUGCCGGCCUCGAGGGAGGUAGGGGUCUGCGGAACUUCCGGUGGAGCGGUGAAAUGCGUUGAUAUCGGAAGGAACGCCGGUGGCGAAAGCGGCGGACUGGACCUCUUCUGACGCUGAGGCGCGAAAGCCAGGGGAGCAAACGGG